rnacentral:rRNA from 1 species
UUCGCCGUGUAAAGCCCCUUCGACGAGUCGAGUUGUUUGGGAAUGCAGCUCUAAAUGGGAGGUAAAUUUCUUCUAAAGCUAAAUACUGGCCAGAGACCGAUAGCGCACAAGUAGAGUGAUCGAAAGAUGAAAAGCACUUUGGAAAGAGAGUCAAAUAGCACGUGAAAUUGUUGAAAGGGAAGCGCUUGCAGCCAGACUUGCCUGUAGUUGCUUAUCCGGACUUUUGUCCGGUGCACUCUUCUGCGGGCAGGCCAGCAUCAGUUUAGGCGGUUGGAUAAAGGUCUCUAUCACGUACCUCCCUUCGGGGUAGGCCUUAUAGGGGAGACGACAUGCAACCAGCCUGAACUGAGGUCCGCGCAUCUGCUAGGAUGCUGGCGUAAUGGCUGUAAGCGGCCCGUCUUGAAACACGGACCAAGGAGUCUAACAUCUAUGCGAGUGUUUGGGUGUCAAGCCCAGACGCGUAAUGAAAGUGAACGGAGGUGGGAACCUUUUAGGUGCACCAUCGACCGAUCCUGAUGUCUUCGGAUGGAUUUGAGUAAGAGCAUGGCUGUUGGGACCCGAAAGAUGGUGAACUAUGCUUGAAUAGGGUGAAGCCAGAGGAAACUCUGGUGGAGGCUCGCAGCGGUUCUGACGUGCAAAUCGAUCGUCAAAUUUGGGCAUAGGGGCGAAAGACUAAUCGAACUAUCUAGUAGCUGGUUCCUGCCGAAGUUUCCCUCAGGAUAGCAGUAACGUAUUCAGUUUUAUGAGGUAAAGCGAAUGAUUAGAGGCCUGGGGGUUGAAACAACCUUCACCUAUUCUCAAACUUUAAAUAUGUAAGAAGUCCUUGUUACUUGAUUGAACGUGGACACUUGAAUGUACCGUUACUAGUGGGCCAUUUUUGGUAAGCAGAACUGGCGAUGCGGGAUGAACCGAACGCGGGGUUAAGGUGCCAGAAUAUACGCUCAUCAGACACC